rnacentral:rRNA from 1 species
AUUGAACGCUGGCGGCAUGCCUUACACAUGCAAGUCGAACGGCAGCGCGGGAGCAAUCCUGGCGGCGAGUGGCGAACGGGUGAGUAAUACAUCGGAACGUGCCCAAUCGUGGGGGAUAACGCAGCGAAAGCUGUGCUAAUACCGCAUACGAUCUACGGCUGAAAGCAGGGGAUCGCAAGACCUUGCGCGAAUGGAGCGGCCGAUGGCAGAUUAGGUAGUUGGUGAGGUAAAGGCUCACCAAGCCUUCGAUCUGUAGCUGGUCUGAGAGGACGACCAGCCACACUGGGACUGAGACACGGCCCAGACUCCUAAGGGAGGCAGCAGUGGGGAAUUUUGGACAAUGGGCGAAAGCCUGAUCCAGCCAUGGCGCGUGCAGGAUGAAGGCCUUCGGGUUGUAAACUGCUUUUGUACGGAACGAAACGGUCUUUUCUAAUAAAGAAGGCUAAUGACGGUACCGUAAGAAUAAGCACCGGCUAACUACGUG